rnacentral:rRNA from 1 species
CAUGCAAGUCGAACGUGAAGCCUACACUGACUACUUCGGUAUGAUUUGUAGGUGGAAAGUGGCGAACGGGUGAGUAACACGUGGGUGACCUGCCUCAAAGUGGGGGAUAACCAUUGGAAACGAUGGCUAAUACCGCAUGUAUCUGUUUGUGUGGGAACACGAAUAGGAAAAGCUCCGGCGCUUUGAGAGGGGCCCGCGGUCGAUUAGCUAGUUGGUAGGGUAAAAGCCUACCAAGGCGACGAUCGAUAGCUGGUCUGAGAGGACGAUCAGUCACACGGGAACUGAGACACGGUCCCGACUCCUACGGGGGGCAGCAGUGAGGAAUAUUGCACAAUGGGGGCAACCCUGAUGCAGCAACGCCGCGUGGGGGAUGAAGGCCCUUGGGUCGUAAACCCCUUUUCUGCGGGAAGAGAAAGGACGGUACCGCAGGAAUAAGUCACGGCUAACUACGUGCCAGCAGCCGCGGUAAUACGUAGGUGGCAAGCGUUAUCCGGAAUUACUGGGCGUAAAGCGCACGCAGGCGGCUGAUUAAGUCUGACGUGAAAGCUCCCGGCUUAACUGGGAGAGGUCGUUGGAAACUGAUUAGCUUGAGGUAGUGAGAGGGGUGCGGAAUUCCCGGUGUAGUGGUGGAAUGCGUAGAUAUCGGGAGGAACACCAGUGGCGAAAGCGGCACCCUGGCACUAUUCUGACGCUCAUGUGCGAAAGCGUGGGGAGCGAACGGGAUUAGAUACCCCGGUAGUCCACGCUGUAAACGAUGAACACUAGUGUAGGCGGUGUCAAAGCCGUCUGUGCCGAAGCAAACGCGAUAAGUGUUCCGCCUGGGGAGUACGGCCGCAAGGCUAAAACUCAAAGGAAUUGACGGGGGCCCGCACAAGCAGCGGAGCGUGUGGUUUAAUUCGAUGCAACGCGAAGAACCUUACCCGGGUUUGACAUGUACGUAGUAGUGAACCGAAAGGGAACGAGCCUUC